rnacentral:rRNA from 1 species
UACAGAGGGUGCAAGCGUUAAUCGGAAUUACUGGGCGUAAAGCGUGCGUAGACGGUUAUUUAAGUCAGGUGUGAAAGCCCCGGGCUCAACCUGGGAACUGCAUUUGUGACUGCAUCGCUGGAGUGCGGCAGAGGGGGAUGGAAUUCCGCGUGUAGCAGUGAAAUGCGUAGAUAUGCGGAGGAACACCGAUGGCGAAGGCAAUCCCCUGGGCCUGCACUGACGCUCAUGCACGAAAGCGUGGGGAGCAAACAGG